rnacentral:tRNA from 1 species
GGCCCAAUGGUCUAGUCGUAUGAUUCGCGCUUCGGGCACUCCGAGGUUGCGCGAGGUCCCGGGUUCAAUUCCCGGUUGGGCCC